CCUACGGGUGACAGCAGUGGGGAAUAUUGCACAAUGGGGGAAACCCUGAUGCAGCAACGCCGCGUGAAGGAAGACGGUUUUCGGAUUGUAAACUUCUAUCAAUAGGGAAGAAAGAAAUGACGGUACCAAAAUAAGAAGCCCCGGCUAACGACGUGCCAGCAGCCGCGGUAAUACGUAGGGGGCAAGCGUUAUCCGGAAUUACGGGGUGUAAAGGGAGAGUAGGCGGCAAGGUAAGCGAUAGGUGAAAGCCUUACGCUUAACGUAAGGAUGGCAUAACGAACUAUCUAGCUAGAGUACAGGAGAGGCAAGCGGAAUUCCUAGUGUCGCGGUGAAAUGCGUAGAUAUUAGGAAGAACACCAGUGGCGAAGGCGGCUUUCUGGACUGAACCUGACGCUGAGGCUCGAACGCGUGGGGAGCGAACAGGAUUAGAUACCCUGGUAGUC
rnacentral:rRNA from 1 species